rnacentral:rRNA from 1 species
UGGGGAAUAUUGCACAAUGGGCGCAAGCCUGAUGCAGCCAUGCCGCGUGUGUGAAGAAGGCCUUCGGGUUGUAAAGCACUUUCAGCGAGGAGGAAGGUGGUGAACUUAAUACGUUCAUCAAUUGACGUUACUCGCAGAAGAAGCACCGGCUAACUCCGUGCCAGCAGCCGCGGUAAUACGGAGGGUGCAAGCGUUAAUCGGAAUUACUGGGCGUAAAGCGCACGCAGGCGGUUUGUUAAGUCAGAUGUGAAAUCCCCGGGCUCAACCUGGGAACUGCAUUUGAAACUGGCAAGCUAGAGUCUCGUAGAGGGGGGUAGAAUUCCAGGUGUAGCGGUGAAAUGCGUAGAGAUCUGGAGGAAUACCGGUGGCGAAGGCGGCCCCCUGGACGAAGACUGACGCUCAGGUGCGAAAAGCGUGGGGAGCAAAACAGGAUUAGAUACCCUGGUAGUCCACGCUGUAAAACGAUGUCGAUUUUGGAGGUUGUGCCCUUGAGGCGUGGCUUCCGGAGCUAACGCGUUAAAUCGACCGCCUGGGGAGUACGGCCA